GCAGAUCCAGUUGAGGCCGACGUUGAUUCUUUUUUUCCAUGUUCUACCUUCCUCUCUUGCUCUUAUUUCCUUACAUUGAGGACAAUGUAGGAUUUAAGUGUAAGGGAAGAGUUUACCAUUUUUCUUUACUUUUGAUGUUCUGUUUUAUUUGCUUCAUUAGUUUAGUUUUAUGUUAUUGUUAAUUUUUAUUGUGUAGCUUAGUGUAUUGAGUCAUUGCAUGUGUUGUCGAGUC
rnacentral:lncRNA from 1 species